CAGUAGCCGCGGUAAUACGGAGGGUGCAAGCGUUGUCCGGAUUUAUUGGGUUUAGAGGGUGCGUAGGCGGCCUAAUAAGUCAGUGGUGAAAGCCUCCAGCUUAACUGGAGAACUGCCAUUGAUACUGUUUGGCUUGAGUAUACUUGAGGUGGGCGGGAUUGACAGUGUAGCGGUGAAAUGCAUAGAUAUUGUCAAGAACACCAAUUGCGAAGGCAGCUUACUAAAUUAUAACUGACGCUGAGGCACGAAAGUGUGGGUAUCAAACAGGAUUAGAUACCCCCGUAGUCCCUGUCUCUUAUAA
rnacentral:rRNA from 1 species